UGGGAUAGCUCAGUUGGUAGAGCAUCUCCAUGGUAAGGAGAAGGUCGUGGGUUCAAGUCCCAUUCCC
rnacentral:tRNA from 1 species